AGAGUUUGAUCCUGGCUCAGAGCGAACGCUGGCGGCAGGCCUAACACAUGCAAGUCGAGCGCCCCGCAAGGGGAGCGGCAGACGGGAGAGUAACACGUGGGAACGUACCCUUCAGUACGGAACAACCAAGGGAAACUUUGGCUAAUACCGUAUACGUCCGUAAGGAGAAAGAUUUAUCGCUGAAGGAUCGGCCCGCGUCUGAUUAGCUAGUUGGUGAGGUAACGGCUCACCAAGGCGACGAUCAGUAGCUGGUCUGAGAGGAUGAUCAGCCUCACUGGGACUGAGACACGGCCCAGACUCCUACGGGAGGCAGCAGUGGGGAAUAUUGGACAAUGGGCGCAAGCCUGAUCCAGCCAUGCCGCGUGGGUGAUGAAGGCCCUAGGGUUGUAAAGCCCUUUCGGCGGGGAAGAUAAUGACGGUACCCGCAGAAGAAGCCCCGGCUAACUUCGUGCCAGCAGCCGCGGUAAUACGAAGGGGGCUAGCGUUGCUCGGAAUCACUGGGCGUAAAGCGCACGUAGGUGGGUUUCUAAGUCAGGGGUGAAAUCCUGGAGCUCAACUCCAGAACUGCCUUUGAUACUGGGAAUCUUCGAGUCCGGGAGAGGUGGGUGGAACUGCGAGUGUAGAGGUGAAAUUCGUAGAUAUUCGCAAGAACACCAGUGGCGAAGGCGGCUCACUGGCCCGGUACUGACACUGAGGUGCGAAAGCGUGGGAGCAAACAGGAUUAGAUACCCUGGUAGUCCACGCCGUAACGAUGGAUGCUAGCCGUUGGUGAGCUUGCUCAUCAGUGGCGCAGCUAACGCAUUAAGCAUCCCGCCUGGGGAGUACGGUCGCAAGAUUAAAACUCAAAGGAAUUGACGG
rnacentral:rRNA from 1 species